rnacentral:rRNA from 1 species
CGAAUGGAGCGAGCGUUGUUCGGAAUCACUGGGCGUAAAGCGUGCGCAGGCGGUUGUGAAAGUCAGAAGUGAAAUCCCAGGGCUUAACCCUGGAAUUGCUUUUGAAACUUCACGACUAGAGUACUGGAGGGGUUGGCGGAAUUUCGAGUGUAGCAGUGAAAUGCGUAGAUAUUCGAAGGAACACCGAUGGCGUAGGCAGCCAACUGGACAGUUACUGACGCUCAUGCACGAAAGCGUGGGGAUCAAACAGGAUUAGAUACCCUGGUAGUCCACGCCGUAAACGAUGUGUGCUAGUUGUCGGGCCCUUAGGGCUCGGUGACGCAGCUAACGCUUUAAGCACACCGCCUGGGGAGUACGGUCGCAAGAUUA